rnacentral:rRNA from 1 species
UCCCAGACUCCUACGGGAGGCAGCAGUGAGGAAUAUUGGUCAAUGGGCGGAAGCCUGAACCAGCCAAGUCGCGUGAGGGAAGAAGGCCCUGCGGGUCGCAGACCUCUUUGGACGGGGAGCAAGGCCGCCGACGUGUCGGCGGAAGGAGAGUACCCGUAGAACAAGCAUCGGCUAACUCCGUGCCAGCAGCCGCGGUAAUACGGAGGAUGCGAGCGUUAUCCGGAAUGAUUGGGCGUAAAGGGUGCGCAGGCGGCAUGUCAAGUCUGAAGUGAAAGGUACGGGCUUAACCUGUACAGGCUUUGGAAACUGGCAUGCUAGAGGACAGGAGAGGGCGGUGGAACUCCAUGUGUAGCGGUAAAAUGCGUAGAUAUAUGGAAGAACACCAGUGGCGAAGGCGGCCGCCUGGACUGUUACUGACGCUCAGGCACGAAAGCGUGGGGAGCAAAUAGGAUUAGAUACCCCUGUA